rnacentral:rRNA from 1 species
CCUACGGUGUGCAGCAGUGAGGAAUAUUGGUCAAUGGACGAGAGCCUGAACCAGCCAAGUAGCGUGAAGGAUGACUGCCCUAUGGGUUGUAAACUUCUUUUAUAUGGGAAUAAUAAGCGUUAUGCAUACCCUGUUGUAAGUACCAUACGAAUAAGCAUCGGCUAACUCCGUGCCAGCAGCCGCGGUAAUACGGAGGAUCCGAGCGUUAUCCGGAUUUAUUGGGUUUAAAGGGUGCGUAGGUGGCAUUAUAAGUUAGUGGUAAAAUAUUGGGGCUAAACCUUACAAUGCCAUUAAUACUGGGGAGCUAGAGAACAGACGAGGUAGGCGGAAUAAGUUAAGUAGCGGUGAAAUGCAUAGAUAUAACGUAGAACACCGAUAGCGAAGGCAGCUUACCAGACUGAGUCUGACGCUGAUGCACGAGAGCAUGGGUAGCGAACAGGAUUAGAUACCCGGGUAGUC